UACGGGGGGAGCAAGCGUUGUUCGGAUUUACUGGGCGUAAAGGGCGCGUAGGCGGUCGUGACAAGUCACUUGUGAAAUCUCCGGGCUUAACUCAGAACGGCCAAGUGAUACUGCAGUGCUAGAGUGUGGAAGGGGCAAUCGGAAUUCUUGGUGUAGCGGUGAAAUGCGUAGAUAUCAAGAGGAACACCUGAGGUGAAGACGGGUUGCUGGGCCAACACUGACGCUGAUGCGCGAAAGCCAGGGGAGCAAACGGG
rnacentral:rRNA from 1 species